CAUUCGCUCUUUUCUGACUCCUCCUGCCUCACUUGUUAAGACAUGCAAAUACCCAUUGCGUGCAUCCACUCCUCACACUUUGGCACAAUCGCAUACACGAACCAAUUCAAGGGAUCACUUUAAAAAGGAUGUUUUAUUUUUUCUUUCUUUAAGCUCUAACAAUUAGAGCAUUUCACCCUCCUGGACAAGAAUCUAUUGACAUUAAGUGGAUACUAAAAAGCAAGAAGAGAAAGAGGAAGAAGGACUCAAAAAAGAAAAAAGACCAAGGAGUCAAAUAACAAAACUGCUCGGGAAAAGGACAAGAGACGACAACAGGAAAAUGUCCUUUUUGUCUGGCUCACAGUGGCGGCAGCCUGGCAUAAUUGCUGGCAACAACGGGUGCAGACAACCAUCCAGUGGGCAUCAACAGGAGCAACAGAAUCCUGCAGUUCCACUCUCAGCUGCCAACAUCCCUGGUGUCCUGGCUUCCUCUCCACUGUCACCCUCGCAACUGUCCUCUGGACACCAUAGUGGGUUGCGUGACCCAGGCCAAAUGGCAUCUGAGGGAAAGGUUGCUACCAGGUCUUUCGAUCUGACUUUAACUGAAGGGGAAUUGAGAUUAGGGUGUGGCAAAACGUCCUCUGGAAUUACACCAGAGACCAAGGGUCUAAAUCUGCCUGUGCUGAAGGUGGAGAAUAACAAACCAACAGGUGGGAGGCUGAAUGAGGCAAAACAAAGGGAAGGAGUUUCACUUGGGAGUGCAGGAGACACUCCCAGGAGCCCUCUUUCGCCCUGUUCCUCUCCUUCCUCUUCAUUAACUUCUCCUUCUGUCUCACCUGGGAAAUUAUUCAACACCGCACUAGAACCUAAGCAAGGAUCAAAUGUUAAAUUUGGACCGAACCUUUUACAGCAGAACUUGAACUGGUCUUUCCCAAGCAGAGAUGGAGUUAUGAUACAACAAUACCAGGACGUUAAACAAGAAGAGGGCACACCUAUUCCACCCAAGCAGGAAUCUAUAUCUGAAGAAGAAAGUGCCGUCUCAUUAUCAGGAGAUAAAUCUAAUUGGGGAAAUAUUCCUUGUUCUUUAUUUUCAUCUUCUUCACAUUCAGGAGGGGAAAAUCCUGAUAAACCACAUGCUCCACUGUCUAUACCUAACCUUACAGGAAGUAGCGCGACCUCAUCUCCAAGGCUUUCAGUUUUCCCUGCCUCAUGUAAUCAAUCAAACAUCAUUGGGGAGGGCAAAGUUUUGAAAAAAGGAAUCACAGAUCAAACUGAAAAAGUGAAGUUGUGUGCUCCACCUUGCACAAAUGCAACAGAAAGUAAGGAUGCAAAAUCACAGGUGUCAAAUCCUACUGACGACUGGAAAGUAGCUUCAGGUGUUACUGUAAAGAGUGACACAAAAAAUAGUAACGCCAACGAGCUGCCACAGCGAAGUGUGGUCAGACGGGCGAUGUCUGAUUGUUCGCACCUGUCUGUUCCGACAUUAAAUGCUGAAAUGUAUCUGAAUAGUAUGGGAGGCUCACCAGAGACAACACCUUACAUCGGUAACUUUGCCCUGAUGGGAACAGCAUGUCCGAUCAGGGUGCCCUACCCACACAUGGCGGUCCGGCGCUCGCUAACAGUGACAGAUACCACAGAAGCGUCAGCUGCAGUGGCCUCAGUCUUAUCAACUCCAUUAAUGAUGUCACCGGUGUUACCAUCAUCUCCACCACCUAGGAGACAUCAUGGCAGCUGCGAGACCAAUGUUUUAAUUUCUGUGCCAACCCCAUCAGUGAAAGUGGACAAGGACAAGCAUGAGAAGACAGAUGUCUUGUCCAGCAAGACAGAAAAGAUGGAUGCCUGUGACAAGAAGGAGAAAGCAGAGCAGAACAACAAAGACAACUGCCCUGACAAGAACCUCAAGUCUGACAAGAUUUUCAAAGAUGAAGAAAAGAUGGACAAGAUAAAUGCUGAGAAAAACAACAAGGUCAGUGAGAAGGCAGAGAAGACAGACAAGCCAGAAAAAAAUAACAAAGAUGAGGAAAAGAAGCAGACUGAGAAGAAGGAUGAGAAAGGAGGAAAAGGGGUUGCUAAGUCUCCAACAGCCAAUGGGAGCAAGACUCUCCAAAGCCCUGACAGCAAAACCAAGACUGAAGUGGUUUCGACCAAAUCAAAUGCAUCUAAAUCUCGCCCAUCUACCCUCCAUACCAAUGGUGAAGCCACCUCAGUCAAACACCCCUCCCCAACCACGACCUCAGUGAAUAAAAAAAUCCCUCUGCCCAAGGCGGCAACCCCCACUGCUGCUAAGAGCCCUCCAAUUCCACCAGGAUCUGCAAAAAUUCCAGAAAGUGGAGCAGCUGAGAAACGCCCAGCUGCACAAAAGACUAAUUCUACUCCCCGUCCAGUCACCAAUAAGAACAAUUCAACUUCUUCCACUGGGACCAAAACCGCUGCAAACAAAAAUGACAAGACUGAGAGCAAGUCAGGAGAGGCCAAGAAAACCAAAACUACCGCUCGUCCACGUCCAGCUUCCAUCACCUCUCUGACGACUCCAGCUAACACAGCCAAUGGUGAAGCUGCUCCCACCCAACGUCGCAGGGUCAUCACCAAGCCUCCUGUUCCUAAGCAAACCACUCUGGAAAAGAAACCAGCAGUGCCCCGUGCUCCUCGAACCCUCAGGCCCAUUAAUGCACCAACACCAGACCUGAAGAAUAUCCGUUCCAAGAUUGGGUCCAUUGACAACAUUAAGUACCAGCCUGGUGGAGGAAAGGUUUCUUCCAUACAGAACAACAAGACAGCAGACUCCUCCAAUCCUUCCACCAAGGCCAGAGUUCAGAUAGUGCACAAAAAGCUGGACUUCAGCCAUGUCACGUCUCGCUGUGGCUCCAAGGACAAUAUCAAACAUGUCCCUGGAGGUGGCAAUGUACAGAUUCUGAACAAGAAAGUUGAUGUGAGUAAAGUCACAUCCAAGUGUGGCUCCAAGGACAACAUCAAGCACAAGCCAGGUCAUCUCCAGUGUUUGUCUGUGGUGGUGAUGUCAAGAUUGAAUCUCAUAAGCUUAACAUUAAGGCAAAGUCCAAGAUUGGUUCACUGGACAACGUGGGACAAGGCAAUGGACAGACAAAUGGACACAAGGAGGAGAGAGGAGAGGAAAAGACUUCCUCACCUCCGAACACAGGACUACCAGGCGUUGCCAAGGCAACGACAGCACUAGGAGGUGUUGCAAAGGAAAAUGGGGUUAAGGAGCCCUUGCCUACUCCUUUUGGAUCCGACGGUUUGAGAGACCCACUUAGUUCUAACAGGCGCAUUGCUGAGAAAAAUUGAAUCUCACCUCAAGAGUUUUGGUGGGGUACGCCCUGCACUCACCAGUUGACCAACUAACUUCCAUGGUCACUUCCCUUUGGCCCUGCCUUCCAUCUUGCCUCCUGCAGCACCAAACUGAAAGUCCGCCUCGUAGUGUUUCUGGGCUCCACUACCUCCCAAUACACCAACCCUGACCUUUCGAUUCUACUGGGUUAACCUUUGGCUCACCCCACCAUAGAGAAGAGCACUUGUUGUUUGUCUGUGAAACUUCUGUCUCAUAGUACUCCUCAUAAGCAUUGGCGUUAGAGGACGUAAAUGCCAAUCUGAAAACCCAUCACUAUACACCCCAAUGCUUUAAAUAAAUAUUUUUAGUUGGAGAUAUUUUCCAAAAAGUAACUUUACCUACUUAGUCAUUUACUCACCAAUGCACUAAUCCACCAACCAGUAGCAAGUGACUUUGAUGUUCACAUCCAUUUAGCCAGCUCCAAGCCUUCCAAACCAGGUGAGGCAUAUCUAUGAAGCCUGCUGGAAAGCAAAUUCCCCAUCUGUUUUAAAUGGACACACGUAUCAUUUUAGGCAACAGUUCAUUAUUUGUAAAUCUAUGGUAUCUACAGCUCUGCACUCUGUGUCAUCGUAGGUAACUCGAGCUUGCUUAGGAAUCCCUCCUUAUGCCUGCAGGUACUCAUUGGUAUUAGAACCAUGGGAGAAAGAGCUCGCGAGAAGAAGGUCAAUGAUGAGGAUGAUGAUUAAAUGGGCUAAAACAGUCAAAGGUGGUCAAGGAAGUAAAAGUAAUUGUCAAGCAAUCAGAAAGUCGUUUGGGGGGUUCCUUUGCUCGUAAUGCUUUUGGUAUAAUACAGCUACAUCAGAUCAGGUAGUUUGUCCUCAGUUGUGUGACUUGCAUUCGAAGGUUGAGCUUUGACCGUCUGUAUUUUUACUGCUGUGUCACCCUAAUUUAGCUGGAUUUGAGUUGUGUUUAACCACAGACUUAAACUGCUUGCUGUGCUGCACUUUCUCAAAUUAUAUUUCAUAUAAAUCGUCACAUGAAGCCGUAAUAUUUAGUAGGUUGUAUGUGAUAAUUGUCUAUUGAUAGACAACUUCCUGUCGGCUGUUUUGUGCUUGGUGGAAGUUUCAGCAUUACUUAACUGUUGGAUCAUGCACAGUACAUUCUUGCAUUCUACUGAUGAAAGUCUGUGGAACACUUGGACUUUCUGGUCACAUGGUUUUAGCAGAAGAGCUGUGCGAUAAAAAGUGAAUGCUUAGCUUAGCUCAGGUUCAAACAUUUUUGGGAAGAUUCUAAAUCCAGUAGACUACAUCAAGGUAUUAAUGAUAAAAUGGAUUUGUUGUUUGUGUUAAGGUGCCCCCAUAAGCCUGGAUAAGUGGAAGAUGGAUGGAUGGAUGGAUGGAUGGAUGGAUGGAUGGAUGGAUGGAUGGAUGGAUGGAUCUGUCAUUAAUUUAAUUCUUUCAAUCUGUAUAAAUGUUGUUUAGGCCCAUCACACACUGAACGACGUGAACAAAACGACUGAACUGUCAUGUAAUGUGCAGAGUUCCACGACAGGUUUUCGUGAUUGGCUGACCGCCAGCCUUUGCUUUUGUGGACAGUGUGACAUUGUUGCAACUGUAACAGCUAAUUAUAAAUGCACAUAAGAUGGACCAAAAAUUAUGUUUCCGGGUCUGAAGUAAGUGAGACCCAGUCAACCGGCAAGCUGUGCCAAUACAGUAUAUACAAUAUGUAUGUAUAUAUUCUGUUUCAAAAUAAUACUUGACAAUAUAGGUUACCUGUGGUUAGUUAGCAAAGCGUGCAGACUCUGUUGCUGAAAUGCACGUGUCCUGUACAAUAAAUGGAUCAUUUCCAAUAGCUUCUCAAAAUGUCCACAAACACCUUUAUUCUUUCCUCUUCUUUAUGGCCGUCUGCUUGUUCAUUGACAAUCACGGCAUA